UGGGGAGUAUUGGACAAUGGGGGCAACCCUGAUCCAGCAAUGCCGCGUGUGUGAAGAAGGUCUUCGGAUUGUAAAGCACUUUCGACGGGGACGAUGAUGACGGUACCCGUAGAAGAAGCCCCGGCUAACUUCGUGCCAGCAGCCGCGGUAAUACGAAGGGGGCUAGCGUUGCUCGGAAUGACUGGGCGUAAAGGGCGUGUAGGCGGUUUACACAGUCAGAUGUGAAAUCCCCGGGCUUAACCUGGGAGCUGCAUUUGAUACGUGUGGACUAGAGUGUGAGAGAGGGUUGUGGAAUUC
rnacentral:rRNA from 1 species